CACGGUGGGAAAUCGCUGCUGACUGUUGCACUUAAGCCCACGAACACCAAAAUUUCAUUCUGACUGGUGCACUUGAGCCAGCGUUAUAAAUCUUCAAACCUUCAAAAUUAUAAUUACAUGACUAUGGCAUUUGGCUUAUUUAUAUUUUGAAGUCAUCAUGGCUGAAAGUAGGCAUAUAUACGAUCUUGGCUCAUUGAUUCAAGACAGUAAAACCAGCGAGAUUUCUUCUGUAAGAAAGGAUUAUGAAGAAAAAGUCUCUGCUGCCAUUCCUACUAAAACAGACCUGUUUCGGAAAGGAAAGCUGGCGAGAGAUCUUAACGCAGAGUUGCUUAUCCCUAAGCAUAUGGGAGAUAAUUGGCGGGCUUUAAAAACUAGAUAGGUGAUGGUAACUGCAUGAACAUUUCUUUGCUAUGUCUACGUAUCUUUUUCUGCUGUUGGAGGAGUGAUAUUAUCAAUGAAAGAAGAAGAAUAACAUUUAUCAUUACUUGUUGCCUGCCUUUGGUACGAUGAUUACAUCGUGAACAUUUCUU